AGAGCUCUGUUAGGAUAAUCUAUCUGUCAGUUAUUAUGCUACUAAAUUUGUAUAGUUAUCCCAAUUUGCACCAAAGUUGAUUUCCACAGAGGCCAAGAGGGCUAGGCGACUUCUCAAAGGAUUAAGGCCGUAGAUUUGUUAUCGUGUGGUAAUGUUUAGGCCAACCACUUAUGCCUCGUGUCUUGAGAUUGCUCAGCUUGCAGAAGAGUUGAUUUCUACCAGGAUAAGACAGGUUGGUAGUUCCCAAUUUUCUUACAAGCCAAAGAGGA
rnacentral:lncRNA from 1 species